rnacentral:lncRNA from 1 species
AGGACUGGCGCAUCCUGGACACCCAGCUCCAGUGGGCAGGGGUCCCACGCAGCUCUCCUCCUUCAGGUCAGGCUGCGGGCCCGAGGGGCUUUCCCUGGCCCUUCCUCCGGGCCUGGGGGGCUGCCUUGAAGCCUAGAUAUGGGGUCGGAGGCACAUACCCAGAAGUCGGGAGCCAACCAGGAGGCCCUGAGGUGAAAAGAGGCAGCAAUGGCCCCCUGGGAAAUGGCUUUGGAGGCCGCUGACUUCUUGGGAGAUGCUGAGCACCCGAGCACACCCACUGCCUGUCCUGAGGGCCUCCGCCUGCAAGCCUGGGACCCUCCGGCGUGGCCUCUGGCCUGGGGGCUCCUGCAGGCUGGAAGUCUCAAUAAAGGCAGUGCGCUUCCCUGUUUGCCUCUGUGUGCUGUGCGGGGGGGGAUCAC